GUAGGUGGCGAGCGUUGUCCGGAUUUACUGGGCGUAAAGAGCGCGCAGGCGGUCGUGCAAGUCGCGUGUGAAAGCCCCCGGCUCAACUGGGGAGGGUCACGCGAUACUGCUCGACUCGAAGGCAGGAGAGGGAAGUGGAAUCCCCGGUGUAGUGGUGAAAUGCGUAGAUAUCGGGAGGAACACCAGUGGCGAAGGCGACUUCCUGGCCUGUUCUUGACGCUGAGGCGCGAAAGCUAGGGUAGCAAACGGGAUUAGAUACCCCGGUAGUCCUAGCCGUAAACGAUGGACACUAGGUGUUGGUGGUAUCAACCCCGCCAGUGCCGAAGCUAACGCAUUAAGUGUCCCGCCUGGGGAGUACGGCCGCAAGGCUA
rnacentral:rRNA from 1 species